rnacentral:lncRNA from 1 species
GUGUGUGCAAAUACGCACACUUCUGCUAAAGAGAAGAACUGAGUGCACUUUCUACGUGAAAAGCUCUGUUCUGUAAAAGAAUCCAAAGACUGAAUUUUGCAGGCUACUGAGAGAAAAGAAAGCCCUCUAAAUAUGCAAUCAGAGCGCGAGAGAGAGAGAGAAUUGGAUCCUAGUGAAGAGGAUGAGGAGAAGUGUGGAUGUGCCCUCACACCGUCACAAGAAAGCAGUCAUAGAUAUAGAAAAUGCAUGUGAAACUCUCUCUCUCUCAAUACUAUAUCUAUCUCUCUCUAAAACUUGCAACUUUUUCUACUAUGCCGUGUG